UGUUUGUUAACUAAAACAGCAACAUCAGCCCAGUACUGACAAUGCUGCUAGAUAUUGAUUAUCAAAAUUAUUUAGAAUUUACAUUUCUCGCUUCUUUAACAUCCUUCCCUCCCUUUAUGACACCUGAAUAACAGUGGACGUAAUAAAAUAAAAGGAUCAGCCAUAGUUUUAUGGGCAAUAACUUUCGAACUUCCUUUCACAAUCACAAUCAGAAAUACUUAAUUGAUCCUAGAGGGGAAAGAGUUCCCAUUUACAGUCUUAGAAAUUUAAGCUGUAGAAAAAACAUGGUAAACAUGCACAGAAAAAUAUGUCCUAAAACUAUAAACAUGAGUAGAAAUGCAAAUAUACAAUGUAAUAAGUUAUUUUCUUUGACAUCAGAUCAGGAUAUUCCUAAUAAGGAGAGAAAGAAAUAUUCAUAUUUAAGGACCAGUGAUGCAUUUUUGCUUUAAAGAAUCCCGUAAAACAAUCAAUAACUAUCAUUUUUGCGUAUUAUUUUAAUUCACCUUGCAGCUUGGUCAACAGAAACGUGCAGUUUUGAAGCUUUGCUUUGAGGUUCUGCUGCUGCUGCCUCUUUUUAUUGGCCCUGUGCAGCUUAUCGUCCGGCCUAUCUUCCUCCCAGACUGUCGCGUCUCCUAAGCUGCUUCUCAGACUGCAUCUUCUGCCUCCAUAACCCUUCCACGCUUUUUUUUAUUUACUCUAUUUCUCGUCUCCCCUCUUCCCUCUUAUCUCUGCCUUCUCUCUGAUCUCUCUCUCGUCUAUUCUCUCUUUAUCUUCCUCCGUCCCGGUGUCAGGACCGCCCCAGUGUCUUUUCCAUCCCCCUCUCUAUGUGAUAAGGAGCCCAGGUGGCGCGAUGGAUUUCAGGAACCUCCCAGGGGUCGAGGCGGCGGCGGCAUCCACGGAGGUGGUGGCGUUCCUGAAUUUUGCUGGAUCAGCAGCAGCCGUCGGUUUGUCCGCUGACAUCUGGAAUAAUGUGUCACCGUUUUAGUUUUUAAGAUUCACGACGACUCCCAGACAUCCUGAAUCUCCAACAAAGACAUCCAACGCUGCACAGAAAGACGAUUCCUGGAUUUAUUGGAGUAAAUAAUUCACCUCGUAGCAUAAAGUUCAGUCCGGCAGCAGAAACAAGCAGUAAAGCAAAAAGGCAGUGAAACAUAUUUACUGUUUGUCUGAAGCUGACUAUGGAGCUACAGCGAACCACAACUCACAUAUCUAAAAAACAGGUUUGACAAACUCUUGUUAUACAGGUUUUAAACAGUGGUUACCGUGACAACUGUCUGUCCAGACAAAAUGUAAAGAAAUGAAACACUUGGACUACAAAAGACGGCAUUAAUGAAGAGAAGGUGAAGUCUUGAACAACAGCAAAGGCCAUUUCUGGUUAAAGUAGAGUUUUAAAUAGCUUGAAACCAGCAUUUUUACUGGUUGGUAGCAUGAAAAUUGGUCUGAGAUACAAAUGAAAUGGGAACUUAAUCAUUAUAAUGCUGCUCUACAGCGCCACCAGUGGUCAAAAUGUCCAACAACACCUCCUUUAAUCUCCUUAGAUGAACAAACACACAACUAAGUACAAAACCAGGCAAAAGUUUGGACGCUAAUUCAGAGUUCUUCUAAAAAACUAGGAAAUAACACAUAUAAUUAUGAAGCAAAUUAAAAAAAAGCGAAAACAAAUCAAAAUAUUCAGAGUAAAAACUGUUUAGAUUUUGGUUUGAUGGUUAACAGAUAGUCAAGCUGCUUAUUCCAGUGAUUAUUCCUACUGAAAUCAUCACUUUUUUUAAAAAUAAAAGAUUCUCCUCAGGCAUCUCUGAUUUGUGCGAACUUUUAAUAGCAUAAAAUAUGGAUAUUUAUGAACAUAUCUGUGAAAUUUAAGCUUCAUAUAUCAAAUACUUUCCAAGAUAAAGAUCUUUAAAAGCUGUUCUGCAACCCACUUUCAACACGUUUUUUUAAUUUCGCACAUUUAAGUUUGAAGCUGUUUGAACAACAAUAUCUCAGGGACUAUUAAAGAUACAAACCUGCUAUUUUCACUGUUAUUUUUCAUCAUGUCAUUGAUUAAGAAUCUGCAGUAUUGGACAGUUUCAUUAAAUAAUCUAUGAACAUGAGUAAGUUGAAAAAUGUAAGAAAAAAACCCGAAGUGUCAUGAAAAGUCCCAUCUUUGAGCUCAUAUUGACAAAAAAAUAAUAAUUCAGAAGUCAACCAGUGAUAUUUUCUGAACCUGCAGGUCACAAUAAUACAAAACCUGUGGAAGACUUUCAAUAUGGAAUACUCGGUCACAACACUUUCUUUGUGCUUUCAUAACCGAUUGAGCGGGUAUGACAAGUUGUAGCACAAACAGCAAAAUAUUAUUGGAUGGACUAAUCAAAGAGUUCGAGUUUCAAAAUAGUUCUCAAGUAUAACUAAGAAAUUAUGUUUAAAAUAUAAAAAAGGCAUAUUUUUCAUUUUCAGACUUAAUUCACAUGCAUUUUUCAUGAAGGUUAAAUUUUUUUCUUCAUAUUUCAAUUCACCCAUAAUCACAGAUUGUUUGAGUUACUUGUUCAAUAUUACAGAUUCUCAAUCAAUGACACGAUGAGAAAUAACAUUGAAAAUUUCAGGUUUUUAUCUAUAAUAGUUCCUGAGAUAUUGUCGUUCAAACAGCCUCAACUUUUAAUGUGUGAAAAAAUGUGUUGAAAGUGGGUCAACAGAAAUUAUUUGAUAAAUGAAGCUCAAAUUUCACAGACACCAUUUUAAAGAUUCAAAGUUGAUGACAAAAAGUUUUCAAGCAAAUCAGAGACGGUCGAGCACAAGAAAUCUGAUGAUUUGAGAUGAAUAAACCCAAGUGGACGGUCAUAAUUCUGUAUAAUAUAAAUAUUACGCCCCCUAGUGUUCAACAUAAAGAAAUGCUUUCCAUUUUGGAUGGAUGGGAAGUGUUCCAAGUCUGUAGGUCUUGUUUUUAAUGUGAGAACUGUGUGUUUUAUGGCCCACAGUCUGCCUUUAAUAAACUAUUAUUAUUGAUAUUAUUUUCACAUGCAGUCUGACAAACAACUGGGCUUCUUCUGUUUCAUAAAGGGAAAUAUUCCUUGUUUUUCUCUUUGUCUUGUUGAUGAAUUAUAUAUUCUCUACACCUGCAAAAAGCCCAUUUCUCUCCUCUGAGGUUGAAACGAGGAUAAAAGUGAUAGCAGAGAUCUGGAGAGCAUCAAACCUGACUGAAAUGUAGUGAAAGCCUUGUUUGGAGUGGAACACGCUGCAAACAAGAUAUUAUCAUCGGCGUAAAAAUGGAUUGUUAAUGACUGUUUUGAUUGAAAUGAAAAAUAAAAAGAGUGUGUUUAUGGAAAAAGUCAGACUAUUAAGAAAUGCAGUGGCUCAUUUGUAUAAAUGUAUAAAUCUUCCUUAGUGUUUUUGGGUUCUGUUAUUUUUGCAAUAGCUCAAGAUAAGAGCUGUUUUCUCAGGCCUUUAUCAUAAAUCUUCAUGGUGAGUUUUUAGCUUGGAGAGGCUGAGGAGAAAAUGAUUCCUCUGUGGCUGGAAGCCAGACGCUGUCAGAGCUGCAGAGCUCUUAAUUUUGUCUAGAAAAAAAUUCCUGCAGCAAACUGAGACUCCGGUUACAACUGAUUCUGCAAACUUUUAGAGCUUGGAACCCAAAGACAAAUAAGAAAUGACGUCCUGGACCCUUCAACUGUAUCAGCCUGAGCCUCCAGAAAUGUGACAGUUGUUUUUACUACAGGACUAAAUGGAGGUAAAGCGUAUUAACUGUCACUUCCCCAACUACCACAGCAGCUGAUCUGAGUCCAUCUAAAGCCACGACUUGCUUCUUGUGUGUCAUUUAUCUGAAACAACUUUCUUUCUCACUGGUUUACUGGUCAUUCUGUAUCACUGAAAGUUGGAUCAGUUACAUCUUAUUGGUCAAUUUAUAAUCAAAUAAGAGUAGAACUGAAUGUGUUUCUUACAGUGAUAACCACAAAGAAAAUCCUAAAAUCUCUGCUACGUCCUGCAGUCCGAGCACACCAGCUCACCUACAACUCCGUAAAACUUCUCUGCAAUACAAAGUUCAGACAUACACUUUUGGACCAGAAACCAAAUAAAGCAGAGUUUUUGACACUCAAAAAAGGAAAAAAAGCCAGAGGACAGUGACUAAAAACAUCAGAAAACAACUGAAAACACUGAAUGAACAUAAAACGUAGGAAAACAGCAAUGAAAUGCCACAAAAUUGCCAAAAACAGUGACAGAAAACACCAGUAAAUAGCGACUAAAAACAUUGGAAAACAGCAACUGAAAACGUCACAGAGUGAGAAAAUAUUUUUAAAAGACUAAAAACAGCAACUGCAAACAUUGUAAAAGAACAACUGAAAUCAUGAAGAAACUGAAACUGGAAAUAUCAGAAAACAUAGCCUGAAAAUAACAUCUGAAAAUCUAGGAAAACAGUAAUUAAAUAUGCAAAAGCAGCUACUGAAAAUGUCUGAUAACCCUGGCUGAAAAAACUGAAAAACAGCAACCAAAAAAGUCACAAAAAUAGAGACUAAAAACAUUAAAAAGUUGCUGAAAAAGUCAGAAAACAGUUAUUUAAAAAAGGGACUAAAAACAUGGGAAAACAGCAGCUGAAAAAAAAUUACAGUGACUGAAAAUAUCAGAAAAAAGCAACUGAAAAAGUCACAAAAAUAGAGACUAAAAACAGUAAAAAGUCAGAAAACAGUGACCGAAAACAUCGCAAGAUAGCCACUGAAGACGUGAGAAGCUGAUAAACGUUUUCCGUGAGUUUUUACAGUUUGGUGUGAGACCGUGGACUGUUACCGGAUACGUGGAUUUACUGUGGGCAUGUCUGAAAAACAGCACUGCAGCGCUUCCUGGAAAGUAAUGAAACCGUCCUACAAGUUUCUAACAACGAAUACGAACAAAGUAAAACAAUCCUCUGUUCACAAAGCAGCAGGACUCUGAAUCUGAUCCUCGGUUCACUUGUAGUUCCAGAUCAGACACAAACAUUGUUUUUCAGCCUCCCGUCCAUCCCUGCAGCUAUGAACGAGGAUUUAAGGAGCCACAUCAGAAUAUAACGAGAACCAGGACGGCGAAAAACGACUUCUACAAAUUUGGACUCACCUCGAGAGAAUGUUUUCAAAAUUGGUCAUUAGGAAAUGAGUCAAACUUUAAAUACAACUAAAUUAUGUAGGCCGGCUAUCGGAAAAUCAACACUUCAGCUCAGAUAAAGACCACUAACACUGAAAGAGUACGCGAAAAUAAAUUUAAAGUUAAGUGGGAAGUAAAGUUUAUACAUUAUACUGCUCACUGUUUUCACUGUACUUGACUUACUGUGCAGAAAUGUGGGGUAACACAUAUAAUACUACAAUAAAUCCAGUAAAAAUAUGACCAAAAAAACUGCUAUUUGGAUAAUGUGUGAUAUAAUAAGCACCCUGUUAUAUUGUUUUCCAAAAUAAACACAAUGAAAUUUA